GAAUGGAGAGGAGAAAAGCUGCAGUGGCUACGGAGGCCCUGAUGCCAUGGAUGGUAAACUGGUAUCUUCUGACGAUGAUGACUUUAUUGUAAAAAGAGAACAUACACGAGCAUCAGGAAUAAGGAAAGCCGUGCUGAGUGGCCCAGGUCAGUCUGCUGAGAAUGAAACCGACCAGGUCAAUUUUAGAGAGAUCCCUCCACGAUGCUAUCCAAGGCAUGCAUAUAUUUUACUUACAAGGUUCACUACUCUAACAGCUCCACUGAGAUUCCUGAAUUCCUCACUGCAUUGGAAGUGCUGAUGGCUUCAGACUUCCUAGA
rnacentral:lncRNA from 1 species